GACGAACGCUGGCGGCGUGCUUAACACAUGCCAGUCGAACGGAAAGGCCCUGCUUUUGUGGGGUGCUCGAGUGGCGAACGGGUGAGUAACACGUGAGUAACCUGCCCUUGACUUUGGGAUAACUUCAGGAAACUGGGGCUAAUACCGGAUAGGAGCUCCUGCUGCAUGGUGGGGGUUGGAAAGUUUCGGCGGUUGGGGAUGGACUCGCGGCUUAUCAGCUUGUUGGUGGGGUAGUGGCUUACCAAGGCUUUGACGGGUAGCCGGCCUGAGAGGGUGACCGGCCACAAUGGGAGUGAGAUACGGCCCAGACUCCUACGGGAGGCAGCAGUGGGGAAUAUUGCACAAUGGGCGGAAGCCUGCUGCAGCAACGCCGCGUGCGGGAUGACGGCCUUCGGGUUGUAAACCGCUUUCGCCUGUGACGAAGCGUGAAUGACGGUAAUGGGUAAAGAAGCACCGGCUAACUACGUG
rnacentral:rRNA from 1 species